rnacentral:rRNA from 1 species
GCUCAACCGAGGAAGUGCUUCGAAAACUGGUAAACUUGAGUGCAGAAGAGGAAAGUGGAACUCCAUGUGUAGCGGUGGAAUGCGUAGAUAUAUGGAAGAACACCAGUGGCGAAGGCGGCUUUCUGGUCUGUAACUGACGCUGAGAUUCGAGAGCAUGGGUAGCAAACAGGAUUAGAUACCCUGGUAGUCCAUGCCGUAAACGAUGAGUGCUAAGUGUUGGAUGGUUUCCGCCCUUCAGUGCUGCAGCUAACGCAUUAAGCACUCCGCCUGGGGAGUACGAUCGCAAGAUUGAAACUCAAAGGAAUUGACGGGGGCCCGCACAAGCGGUGGAGCAUGUGGUUUAAUUCGAAGCAACGCGAAGAACCUUACCAGGUCUUGACAUACCAUGAAAAGCUAAGAGAUUAGUCUUUCCCUUCGGGGACAUGGAUACAGGUGGUGCAUGGUUGUCGUCAGCUCGUGUCGUGAGAUGUUGGGUUAAGUCCCGCAACGAGCGCAACCCUUAUUAUCAGUUGCCAGCAUUCAGUUGGGCACUCUGGUGAGACUGCCGGUGACAAACCGGAGGAAGGUGGGGACGACGUCAAAUCAUCAUGCCCCUUAUGACCUGGGCUACACACGUGCUACAAUGGUCGGUACAACG